CCAAUAGCGUAUAUUAAAGUUGUUGCAGUUAAAAAGCUCGUAGUUGAAUUUCGGGAUCAAUUUAUUGGUCGUGCUAUUGUACGUACUGGUAUUAUUGAUUUCUACCUUCUGACGAACCAUGAUGUCAUUAAUUUGGUGUCUUGGGGAAUCAGGACUGUUACUUUGAAAAAAUUAGAGUGUUUAAAGCAGGCUCACGCUUGAAUACAUUAGCAUGGAAUAACGAAAUAGGACGUUUGAUUCUAUUUUGUUGGUUUCUUGAAUCGACGUAAUUAUUAAUAGGGAUAGUUGGGGGCAUUAGUAUUCAAUUGUCAGAGGUGAAAUUCUUGGAUUUAUUGAAGACUAACUACUGCGAAAGCAUUUGCCAAGGAUGUUUUCAUUAAUCAAGAACGAAAGUUAGGGGAUCGAAGACGAUCAGAUACCGUCGUAGUCUUAACCAUAAACUAUGCCGACUAGGGAUCGGAUGAUGUUAAUUUUUUAAUGACUCAUUCGGCGCCUUACG
rnacentral:rRNA from 1 species